CGACUUAAUCCUGAAACACAAAAGGCAGGAUUAAGACACAACAAAGCAGUAAGCUUUAUCAAAGUAGGAAAUUCAAGUCUGAUGUUCUAGUCAACGGAAUGUUAGGCAAAGUCAAAGAAGUUCUUGAAAUGAUAGAGUCAAGUGAAUAAGUGCAUCAGGUGGAUGCCUUGGCGAUGAUAGGCGACGAAGGACGUGUAAGCCUGCGAAAAGCGCGGGGGAGCUGGCAAUAAAGCAAUGAUCCCGCGAUGUCCGAAUGGGGAAACCCACUGCAUUCUGUGCAGUAUCCUAAGUUGAAUACAUAGACUUAGAGAAGCGAACCCGGAGAACUGAACCAUCUAAGUACCCGGAGGAAAAGAAAUCAACCGAGAUUCCGCAAGUAGUGGCGA
rnacentral:rRNA from 1 species